rnacentral:rRNA from 1 species
GGGUGAGUAAUGCUUAGGAAUCUGCCUAUUAGUGGGGGACAACAUCUCGAAAGGGAUGCUAAUACCGCAUACGUCCUACGGGAGAAAGCAGGGGACCUUCGGGCCUUGCGCUAAUAGAUGAGCCUAAGUCGGAUUAGCUAGUUGGUGGGGUAAAGGCCUACCAAGGCGACGAUCUGUAGCGGGUCUGAGAGGAUGAUCCGCCACACUGGGACUGAGACACGGCCCAGACUCCUACGGGAGGCAGCAGUGGGGAAUAUUGGACAAUGGGGGGAACCCUGAUCCAGCCAUGCCGCGUGUGUGAAGAAGGCCUUUUGGUUGUAAAGCACUUUAAGCGAGGAGGAGGCUACCGAGAUUAAUACUCUUGGAUAGUGGACGUUACUCGCAGAAUAAGCACCGGCUAACUCUGUGCCAGCAGCCGCGGUAAUACAGAGGGUGCAAGCGUUAAUCGGAUUUACUGGGCGUAAAGCGCGCGUAGGUGGCCAAUUAAGUCAAAUGUGAAAUCCCCGAGCUUAACUUGGGAAUUGCAUUCGAUACUGGUUGGCUAGAGUAUGGGAGAGGAUGGUAGAAUUCCAGGUGUAGCGGUGAAAUGCGUAGAGAUCUGGAGGAAUACCGAUGGCGAAGGCAGCCAUCUGGCCUAAUACUGACACUGAGGUGCGAAAGCAUGGGGAGCAAACAGGAUUAGAUACCCUGGUAGUCCAUGCCGUAAACGAUGUCUACUAGCCGUUGGGGCCUUUGAGGCUUUAGUGGCGCAGCUAACGCGAUAAGUAGACCGC